rnacentral:rRNA from 1 species
CCUACGGGUGGCAGCAGUGGGGGAUAUUCCACAAUGGGGGGAACCCUGAUGCAGCGACGCCGCGUGGGUGAAGGAGCGUUUCGGCUCGUAAAGCCCUAUCGUCAGGGAAGAACGUGACGGUAAGUGACUAAUCAGCCCCGGCUAAAUACGUGCCAGGAGCCGAGGUAAUACGUUGGGGCCACGCGGUCUGCGGAUUUACUGGGGGUAACGGGGGCGCAGGCGGGAAUGCAAAGCAGGAGCGAAAGCCCGGGGGCCAAACCCGGGUAUGCUCUUGAAACUGGAUGGCUGGAGUGCAGGAGGGGCAGGUGGAAUUCCUAGUGUAGCGGUGAAAUGCGUAGAUAUAAGGAGGAACACCGGUGGCGAAGGCGGCCGGCUGGACUGUGACUGACGUUGAGGCCCGAAGGCGUGGGGAGCAAACAGGAUUAGAUACCCCAGUAGUC